rnacentral:rRNA from 1 species
AGCGAACGCUGGCGGUAGGCCUAACACAUGCAAGUCGAACGGCAGCACAGGAGAGCUUGCUCUCUGGGUGGCGAGUGGCGGACGGGUGAGGAAUACAUCGGAAUCUACCUUGUCGUGGGGGAUAACGUAGGGAAACUUACGCUAAUACCGCAUACGACCUUCGGGUGAAAGUGGGGGACCGCAAGGCCUCACGCGAUUAGAUGAGCCGAUGUCGGAUUAGCUAGUUGGCGGGGUAAAAGCCCACCAAGGCGACGAUCCGUAGCUGGUCUGAGGGGAGAAUCAGCCACACUGGACCUGAGACACGGUCCAGACUCCUCCGGGAGGCAGCAGUGGGGAAUAUUGGACAAUGGGCGCAAGCCUGAUCCAGCCAUACCGCGUGGGUGAAGAAGGCCUUCGGGUUGUAAAGCCCUUUUGUUGGGAAAGAAAUCUUGCCGGUUAAUACCUGGCGAGGAUGACGGUACCCAAAGAAUAAGCACCGGCUAACUUCGUGCCAGCCGCCGCCGUAACAC